ACAAGUUUGGCUCCGGCCUAACUCUGUGCACUGUAGUGUUUUUGGGCUGGAAACAGCCCAGAGCAAACACCUUAGAAAUGACUGAAAAGAGAAAAGAAA
rnacentral:misc_RNA from 1 species